GAGUUUGAUCUUGGCUCAGAGUGAACGCUGGCGGUAGGCCUAACACAUGCAAGUCGAACGGCAGCACAGAGGAGCUUGCUCCUUGGGUGGCGAGUGGCGGACGGGUGAGGAAUACAUCGGAAUCUACUCUGUCGUGGGGGAUAACGUAGGGAAACUUACGCUAAUACCGCAUACGACCUACGGGUGAAGCAGGGGAUCUUCGGACCUUGCGCGAUUGAAUGAGCCGAUGUCGGAUUAGCUAGUUGGCGGGGUAAAGGCCCACCAAGGCGACGAUCCGUAGCUGGUCUGAGAGGAUGAUCAGCCACACUGGAACUGAGACACGGUCCAGACUCCUACGGGAGGCAGCAGUGGGGAAUAUUGGACAAUGGGCGCAAGCCUGAUCCAGCCACACCGCGUGGGUGAAGAAGGCCUCGGUUGUAAGU
rnacentral:rRNA from 1 species